rnacentral:snRNA from 1 species
UUACUUACCUGGAUGGGGUCUAUGGAUGAUCAUGAAGGUCCAUGGCCUAAGAUUGUGACCUCCAUUGCACUUAGGAGGGGUGCUUUUCUAAGAUACAUUAUAAUUUGUUGGGGGCCUGUGUUCAUGCGGCCUAUUC